rnacentral:rRNA from 1 species
UGGGGAAUUUUGGGCAAUGGGCGAAAGCCUGACCCAGCAACGCCGCGUGAAGGACGAAAUCCCUCGGGAUGUAAACUUCGUAGUCAGGGGAAGAAAGUCUUGGAUUGAAUACAUCCGAGGCCUGACGGUACCCUGGGUAAGCCACGGCUAACUACGUGCCAGCAGCCGCGGUAAUACGUAGGUGGCAAGCGUUGUUCGGAAUUACUGGGCGUAAAGGGCGCGUAGGCGGCCCUCUAAGUCAGACGUGAAAUCCCCCGGCUUAACCUGGGAACUGCGUCUGAUACUGGAGGGCUUGAGUAUGGGAGAGGGAUGUAGAAUUCCAGGUGCAGCGGUGAAAUGCGUAGAUAUCUGGAGGAAUACCGGUGGCGAAGGCGGCAUCCUGGACCAUUACUGACGCUGAGGCGCGAAAGCUAGGGGAGCAAACAGGAUUAGAUACCCCCGUAGUCCCUGAGCGGGCUGGCAAGGCGCAU